UGGAAGCUGUCUUCAGCGCGGCGGCGGGGCUUUUGUAAACUCUGUCGGAUGGAGAGGGGGUGGAGUGGCGGUGAUUUUGCCGGCUGCUUCCCCGAGACAGUGAGAAGUGGGACAGAGUUCCCGGGGGGAGAUUGUUUUCUGUCUUGCGUCUCCAUAAUCCUCUGAAUUUCUUGUAGUCACGGACAAGAUGAUAAUGAGGGAGAUUGAGUCCAUCGGGUUGUGCUGUGGGAUGUCUCGAUAGACUAUUCUUCUUCUGUACUGAUGGUGGGUUGCACCUGUCAGCAACCCGCCCAGCCCCGACUCUUUCUGCUCGCCAAAACCCAUCGGCUCCCCUCACUCAAACCGCCAGAGCCGACACUGUCCGGUUGUGUCCGCUCUCCCGGCCCGAUCCUCCCCCCACACUCCCUCACCCUCCGUGUCUGCCACACUCGCUUCAAUAGUCUGAUAACUGCUGUCCGUCACACGGACAUUUCCCCAGAUAUGGGCCCCGUCCGACACUCCCCGCGCUGGCGGCUGCGACUGUCGGCCGGCGGGGCCGCCCAAUGUGGGGCAGGAAGGGGCGGCCGAGCCGGAGUGUGAGCGGGAGAAGGGAGUCGGUGGCCGAGAGGUCAGGAAUUGAGGGAAUUCUGGCCGUGGGGGAGAGGAAGCGACCGGGGAGCCCCAAGCUGGGGCGGCACGGCCCAGUCGGAAGGUUGGGGAGGGGAGCCUGGAUCCAGGGGAGAGGGAAUCAGAUCAGGAGGUUGGGAACCUGCAUGUGGGUGAGGGGAGACUGAAUCUGGAUAUGGAUCCGGAGCCUGGAUGCCACAAUUUACAGGCGGCAAUAUGGAAGCGGGGACGGGCUCUGAGGAAAGGGGCAGGGGGUCAAGCCUCAGGAACUGGCAGUUGGCCCAAAGAUGAACAGGAUGGACGGAAACUGGAUCCUGGUGAGGAGAGAGUGAAAAUGUGAAGUGAGGGCAGAGGAAGGGUCGGAGAUGAUCAGGAGCUGAACGACGACAAGAGGCCGGGGGUCCAGAUAAAACAGAACAACACGGCACAGUGCCCGAAGAGAUCUGGUAAAAAAUAGAGAAGGUCGAAUCCCAACUCUUAUGGAGCAGAUGAAGGCAAAAAUGAUAGUAAAAUAGAUCUGUGUAUGUGAGAGAGUUUGAGCGGUUAAAUGUCAAGGAAAAAAAUGCAUCAAGUUUAAUUUUAAUAUGAAAUCAACGCAGUGGUCUCCUGUGUCGAAUGAAGUGGUUCACGGUCUUCUGUCGCCAUCGCCCAUCUCUUCAAGGAAGCUGGUUUCCGUGAUGUGCUGAGCUGUUUCACAACACUCUUCAAUUUCUUGUAUUCACAUGCUGAAUCACAAUGUGGUAGAUUGUGAAGAGUACUACAGAACUAUUCAACAGUCUAUUAACUGCAGGAUGGAAGCUGUACCUGACAAAUCCGUUCCCCUCUAUGCUGAAGAUGAUAUUGUCUUAAUACUUUGUCUCUGGAAUAUCGUUUGAAGCUCUGACCAUAUUCCCUUGCAAUAGGCAACAGUUCUGUAUCUGACCGAAGUAACUCCACAUAAUCACGGCACUGAUGGUCCUCGGGAGUUUCAUCGUGCAUGGCUGCCAUCUUCUUUGGCAGGUUAACCCACCAGAAUUUCAGUAGGAAGAGCCAGACAAAGGAAGCUGGACCAGAAAUUGAGUGGGAGAAAGGAAUCUGUGGCCAACAGGCCGUAUUGAUUUACGACAUCCAGGAGUUGAAACCAGGUCAUCAGUCGGAUGUCAUGCAGCGGUACACCGAGGAGAUGCCCACCAGCUGCUGCUUCACUAUUGUCUUCAAAGGCAGGAAGGAAAACAUGGACCUGGUGACCCUCAAUGGCACAGAGGCCUGCCACUGGAUCUAUGUCUUCACCAAACUCAAGAAGAGAGACUGCAACAUCAACAGGAGAGUGUGACUGAACCAACGUCAUUUGUGGUCUGUGCCAGGGGGUACACCACAGGGAGGAUGCCGCUUCACCCAAUAUCUUCACUGAUGGCAGCCCCUACGUCUGCUCCCACCUCGUGUGGAAGAGCAAAGGUAGUAGGCACAUGGUUAUGUGCAGCAACGUGGCUGGAAAGCAAAGGUACAACUGGUCAAAGUUGGCUGCAGAGGAUUUGUAGCCAGAUCAACAUCAAGGCUACUCCGGGAGUUGAGAGUGCGAGGGAAGACGCCCCGACAAGCUAUGAAAUACCUCUCCAGAGCUGCUGAAAAGGGUAGUCAGAGGCACUUGAUGUAGAGAAGAGAUUCCAUCUGGGCACCCAACAUUGAUUUACGACAUCCAGGAGUUGAAGCCAGGUCAUCAGUCAGAUGACAUGCAGUGGUACGCCAAGGAGAUGCCCACCAGCCGCUGCUUCACUAUUGUCUUCAAAGGCAGGAAGGAAAACGCGGAACUGGUGAUCCUCAGUGGCACAGAGGCCUGUCACUGGAUCUAUGUCUUCACCAAACUCAAGAAGAGAGACUGCAACAUCAACAAGAGAGUGCGACUGGACCAACGUCGUUUGUGGUCUGUGCCAGGGGGUACACCACAGAGGGAAGGUGUCACUUCACCCAAUAUCUUCACUGAUAGCAGACCCAAAGUCUGCUCCCACCUUGUGUGGAAGAGCAAAGGUUAUAUGCAGCAACGUGGCAGCUGGAAGGCAAGGGUGCGACUGGUCGAAGUCGGCAGAGAAUAUGUAGCCAGAUCAACAUUGAGGGUACUCCGUGAGUUAGGAGUGUGAGGGAAGACACACCGACAAGCAGUCAAAUACCUCUCCAGAGCUGCUGAAAAGGGUAGUCUGUGGCUGUGGAUGAAGAGAAUGGAUUCCAUCUAGGUGCCCAAGUGGCAUCAAGGAGCUUGUGGUCAUUUGUAUACUGCUUGUCCAUCCUGCUGGCAUAGUCUUUCGUGAUUCUGUUACGGUUAUUGGAUUUAUUGAGUCUGCCUGCAAGAAGAUACAUCUCACGUUUGUAUAUGAUGACAUAUGCACUUAGAUAAUAAAUUUACUUUGAACUUUUUAAAAUUAUAUAAAAAGAAAAUUAUCAUUGGUUGUCUGAAUUAAUUGUAUUAAACUGAAUAUCUUACUUAAAUUUAUAUACCUUUUCCAGGCCUUACCCGUCUUUACUCGUAAUCCUUUUUUGAUUCUGUUGACUCUCUUUUAUCCUCUUAGGUCUGGAGAAAUAAACAUCCUCGACUGAAUAACGUUCAUCUCUAGAAAGUUAAAACGAGUGGAGGUUUAGCUUAACCAAAUUUUAGCUUUUAUUAUUGGGCAGUUAAUAUACAGAAUCUUACGUAUUGGUUCAAUUAUAUUAAUUAUGAGGACUGUCCGGGGUGGGCUUCUUCAGAAGCUAACUCUGUUAAUAAAUGUUCUAUCAUCUCUCUUUUGGGAUCUUCACUUCCUUUCUCUUUUAGUAAAAUAACUGAAAAUGUGGUAGUUAAACACAUACCUUGUGGAUCUGGAUACAUUUUAGAAAACACUUUGGUUUAUUGAGAUUUUCCCUCUCUAGUCCUAUUUUUCUUAAUUAUUUUUAAAGCCCUCUAUGACUGAUGCAGUUUUUAAACAGUGGGAUAGAUUAUGUGUUAAAUGAUUGCAGGAUCUGUUUGUUGGAGUAAGUCUUUCUUCUUUCGAACAACUGUCAACAAAAUAUAGUUUACCAAAAACCCACUUUUUUCGAUAUUUACAAAUUGGAGAUGUUCUGCGAUCUCAAUUAUGUACAUUUCCUAAAAGUCCUGAUAAUUUCUUAUUAGAUGAAAUUCUUAAUUUGAAACUUUUUUAUAAUGGUUCAAUAUCCAAUAUUUAUGAUAUGCUUAUGGGAAUGAGAAAUGAUUCUUUAAAUAAAAUCAAAAAUCUUUGGGAACAAGAUUUACAGACUUCAAUUUCUGAAGAAACUUGGAAUGACAUUUUUAAACUGGUUAAUACUUCCAUCAUUAUGUGCCUGUCAUUCCCCCUACAAUUUAAAGUGGUCCAUAGGGCUUAAAUAACAAAGGAUAAGCUAUCUCAUUUUUAUAUGGAUAUAUCUCCCUACUGUGAUAGGUGUAACAAUGGAGAAGCUUCAUUCAUUCAUCUUUUUUUUAAAGAUAUUGGAUGGAAGUAUUCCAAUCAUUUUCUGUUCUUUUUAAAGUAAAAUUUAAGCCUAAUCAAUUGACUGCUUUAUUUGGUAUUGUUGGAGGGAAAGAUACCAUUUUGAAGACAUCUGACUGGCACACUGGCUUUUAUCUCUCUUAUGGCUAGGAGGGCAUUCUUGCUUAAAAGGAAGGAUGCUGCUCCGCCUACUCACACUCACUGGUUACGGGAUGUUAUGGCAUGCUUAAAUUUAGAAAAGAUUUGUUGUUCAAUUUCUGAAUCUAACCAAGAUUUUCAAAAUUUGCGAGGACUGUUUUUGAAUUAUUUUCAAAACCUUCGAUUUCCCGUUAAAGUACAGAUGCUUGUUACUAGCAUAUUUCAUUAUCUGAUAAGGGUUUUUCUUUUUUUUCUUUACAAACAGCUUUGUCUUUGGUAGUGGGUAUAGAUUUUUUUAUAUAUAUAUAUAAAAUUAUUCAUAUCUCAACAUAUGAAUUAAUGUAAUCUACAUCAAUAUAGGGUAAGGUAUUUGUUAAUGUGAUUCAGAUAUAACCUAUUUGGCAUUAUUACAUCAUUCUUUUGUUUCAUAAUAUGUAUUUUCUUGAACUGUAUUCUUCUAUUUAGAAAUUAAUAAAAUAUUG